rnacentral:rRNA from 1 species
CGGAUGAAGGGAGCUUGCUCCUGGAUUCAGCGGCGGACGGGUGAGUAAUGCCUAGGAAUCUGCCUGGUAGUGGGGGAUAACGUCCGGAAACGGGCGCUAAUACCGCAUACGUCCUGAGGGAGAAAGUGGGGGAUCUUCGGACCUCACGCUAUCAGAUGAGCCUAGGUCGGAUUAGCUAGUUGGUGGGGUAAAGGCCUACCAAGGCGACGAUCCGUAACUGGUCUGAGAGGAUGAUCAGUCACACUGGAACUGAGACACGGUCCAGACUCCUACGGGAGGCAGCAGUGGGGAAUAUUGGACAAUGGGCGAAAGCCUGAUCCAGCCAUGCCGCGUGUGUGAAGAAGGUCUUCGGAUUGUAAAGCACUUUAAGUUGGGAGGAAGGGCAGUAAGUUAAUACCUUGCUGUUUUGACGUUACCAACAGAAUAAGCACCGGCUAACUUCGUGCCAGCAGCCGCGGUAAUACGAAGGGUGCAAGCGUUAAUCGGAAUUACUGGGCGUAAAGCGCGCGUAGGUGGUUCAGCAAGUUGGAUGUGAAAUCCCCGGGCUCAACCUGGGAACUGCAUCCAAAACUACUGAGCUAGAGUACGGUAGAGGGUGGUGGAAUUUCCUGUGUAGCGGUGAAAUGCGUAGAUAUAGGAAGGAACACCAGUGGCGAAGGCGACCACCUGGACUGAUACUGACACUGAGGUGCGAAAGCGUGGGGAGCAAACAGGAUUAGAUACCCUGGUAGUCCACGCCGUAAACGAUGUCGACUAGCCGUUGGGAUCCUUGAGAUCUUAGUGGCGCAGCUAACGCGAUAAGUCGACCGCCUGUGGAGUACGGCCGCAAGG